GACGAACGCUGGCGGCGUGCCUAAUACAUGCAAGUAGGACGCAGUUGCGAACGGGUGAGUAACGCGUAGGUAACUGCCCAUUAGAGGGGGAUAACUAUUGGAAACGAUAGCUAAUACCGCAUACUAGAAGAUGGACCUUCUGUGUAUUAGCUAGUAGGUAGGGUAAUGGCCUACCUAGGCUACGCAACAUAGCCGACCUUGGAUGGUGGUCGGCCACACUGGGAAUGAGACACGGCCCAGACUCCUACGGGAGGCAGCAGGAGGGAAUCUUCGGCAAUGGGGGGAAGCCUGACCGAGCAACGCCGCGUGAGUGAAGAAGGUUUUCGGAUCGUAAAGCUCUGUUGGUAAGGAAGCGGUACUUAACCAGAAAGGGACGGCUAACUACGUGCCAGCAGCCGCGGUAAUUC
rnacentral:rRNA from 1 species